GCCGGGCUAGCUCAGUUGGUAGAGCGGCUGAUUUGUAAUCAGUAGGUCGUUGGUUCGAUUCCGACGCCCGGCG
rnacentral:tRNA from 1 species